rnacentral:lncRNA from 1 species
GGACCAUGUGGUAAACAUUGUGCAUUAUGCUCACAUAUAAAUGAAACCAAGGUAUUUUGUGACAACACCGGCAAAGAAUAUACCAUUCAGGGACAAAUAAAUUGUAAAACCGUAGGCGUGGUAUAUGCAAUUAAUUGUACAAAAUGUGAAAAAGUUAUAUAUGUAGGACAAACGGGUGAUACACUAUAUCAACGAAUGCUAUUGAACUUUUCAAAAAUACGAACACAGAAAACAGAAGAUCCAGUAGCCAACCAUUUCAUUCAGAACAAUCAUUCAAUGACAAAUUUAAAAGUUACCGCCAUAGAAAGAGUAUUUGGGACAGAAACUUACAGAAAAA